GAUGAACGCUGGCGGCGUGCCUAAUACAUGCAAGUCGAGCGAACGGACGAGAAGCUUGCUUUUCUGAUGUUAGCGGCGGACGGGUGAGUAACACGUGGAUAACCUACCUAUAAGACUGGGAUAACUUCGGGAAACCGGAGCUAAUACCGGAUAAUAUUUUGAACCGCAUGGUUCAAAAGUGAAAGACGGUCUUGCUGUCACUUAUAGAUGGAUCCGCGCUGCAUUAGCUAGUUGGUAAGGUAACGGCUUACCAAGGCAACGAUGCAUAGCCGACCUGAGAGGGUGAUCGGCCACACUGGAACUGAGACACGGUCCAGACUCCUGAGGGAGGCAGCAGUAGGGAAUCUUCCGCAAUGGGCGAAAGCCUGACGGAGCAACGCCGCGUGAGUGAUGAAGGUCUUCGGAUCGUAAAACUCUGUUAUUAGGGAAGAACAUAUGUGGAAGUAACUGUGCACAUCUUGACGGUACCUAAUCAGAAAGCCACGGCUAACUACGUG
rnacentral:rRNA from 1 species